AUUUUCAUUAAUUCGACAAUGACUUGUUCUAUUUACAAUAAUAAGCAUAAGAGAGGUCCAAAAUUCACAGCCCUCGAUUGCGUCUAGAUUUCACAUCAUGCUAAACUACACUACUUCACUAAUGCUGAUCUUUGAAACUGUACAUAACAAAGGGGAAGACAACAGGGGAAAAAAAAAAAAUCCCUACACUCUUGAGAUUAGAUUGCC
rnacentral:misc_RNA from 1 species